rnacentral:rRNA from 1 species
GCAGGGAGCCGUGAAGCGAGCCACCUGGGAAGUACGGCCGCAAGGCUGAAACUUAAAGGAAUUGGCGGGGGAGCACUACAACGGGUGGAGCCUGCGGUUUAAUUGGACUCAACGCCGGAAAACUCACCUGGGGCGACAGCAAUAUGUAGGUCAGGCUGAAGACCUUACCUGAAUCGCUGAGAGGAGGUGCAUGGCCGUCGUCAGUUCGUACUGUGAAGCAUCCUGUUAAGUCAGGCAACGAGCGAGACCCGUGCCCACUGUUGCCAGCAUAUCCUUCGGGAUGAUGGGUACUCUGUGGGGACCA